rnacentral:piRNA from 1 species
UGGUGCAACCCUGGUCCCAACCUUUCUGCAAU